ACGUGUUGUACACGUCAUGUUAACGUGAUCGUCUUGUUCGAGCCCAUGCCCCGAGAACGUAAUUGUGUGAGGAUAUUGUUGCGGAGUGACGAGUGUAAUUGUAUCAUAGUUUAUGGAGAAAAACAAUUUAAAAGGGACGUUCAACGCUCUGUCAAAUCAGUCCUAUUUAAACUUGCGCAAUGACGUCGGCAUGUGGUCGUGGAGGAAAACGAUCAAAGAGAAAUUAAGGUCCUCACAUGGCGCGAAACCAACUUUUUCCAUGUCAAACUUGGACAGCGGCUGUCCAUGACACACAUGACAUCAUCUUCUAGUGGCGCUCCACUCCACUCCACAGAAAAUACUGUGAUAAAGGAACUGGAAGAAGAGCCCUUUCGCUUUGUGGCCUUUAAAAUCAAUGGUGAAUUUGAACAAGGAGUUUGUGGACGCCACCAAUGCCACCAGAAUGUUUCCAUUAGAGGAGUGGAAGAGGGGUUUUUGUGAGACCACCCUCAGAGGCCGGCCUCUUCGACCUGCGACCAGAGAUGCUGGUGUGGCUCCACGACACCAAGUUGGAGAGAGAGAGAGAGAGAGA